UUGAACGCACAUUGCGCCCUCUGGUAUUCCGGAGGGCAUGCCUGUCCGAGCGUCAUUG
rnacentral:rRNA from 1 species